rfam:Strongylocentrotus purpuratus Contig104543_fixed, whole genome shotgun sequence.
UCCCCAGUGGUGCAAUUGGUUAGCGCGCUAUACUUAUAGACAGUACCCAGCGACCGUUUGGCUACGCUGUAGACAUGCGGAGGUUGUGAGUUCAAGUCUCACCUGGGGAA